CGGCGAGGGGAGUGAAAAAGAACCUGAAACCGUGUACGUACAAGCAGUGGGAGCACAGAGCAAUCUGUGUGACUGCGUACCUUUUGUAUAAUGGGUCAGCGACUUAUAUUCUGUAGCAAGGUUAACCGAAUAGGGGAGCCGAAGGGAAACCGAGUCUUAACUGGGCGUUAAGUUGCAGGGUAUAGACCCGAAACCCGGUGAUCUAGCCAUGGGCAGGUUGAAGGUUGGGUAACACUAACUGGAGGACCGAACCGACUAAUGUUGAAAAAUUAGCGGAUGACUUGUGGCUGGGGGUGAAAGGCCAAUCAAACCGGGAGAUAGCUGGUUCUCCCCGAAAGCUAUUUAGGUAGCGCCUCGUGAAUUCAUCUCCGGGGGUAGAGCACUGUUUCGGCAAGGGGGUCAUCCCGACUUACCAACCCGAUGCAAACUGCGAAUACCGGAGAAUGUUAUCACGGGAGACACACGGCGGGUGCUAACGUCCGUCGUGAAGAGGGAAACAACCCAGACCGCCAGCUAAGGUCCCAAAGUCAUGGUUAAGUGGGAAACGAUGUGGGAAGGCCCAGACAGCCAGGAUGUUGGCUUAGAAGCAGCCAUCAUUUAAAGAAAGCGUAAUAGCUCACUGGUCGAGUCGGCCUGCGCGGAAGAUGUAACGGGGCUAAACCAUGCACCGAAGCUGCGGCAGCGACACUGUGUGUUGUUGGGUAGGGGAGCGUUCUGUAAGCCUGUGAAGGUGUGCUGUGAGGCAUGCUGGAGGUAUCAGAAGUGCGAAUGCUGACAUAAGUAACGAUAAAGCGGGUGAAAAGCCCGCUCGCCGGAAGACCAAGGGUUCCUGUCCAACGUUAAUCGGGGCAGGGUGAGUCGACCCCUAAGGCGAGGCCGAAAGGCGUAGUCGAUGGGAAACAGGUUAAUAUUCCUGUACUUGGUGUUACUGCGAAGGGGGGACGGAGAAGGCUAUGUUGGCCGGGCGACGGUUGUCCCGGUUUAAGCGUGUAGGCUGGUUUUCCAGGCAAAUCCGGAAAAUCAAGGCUGAGGCGUGAUGACGAGGCACUACGGUGCUGAAGCAACAAAUGCCCUGCUUCCAGGAAAAGCCUCUAAGCAUCAGGUAACAUCAAAUCGUACCCCAAACCGACACAGGUGGUCAGGUAGAGAAUACCAAGGCGCUUGAGAGAACUCGGGUGAAGGAACUAGGCAAAAUGGUGCCGUAACUUCGGGAGAAGGCACGCUGAUAUGUAGGUGAAGUCCCUCGCGGAUGGAGCUGAAAUCAGUCGAAGAUACCAGCUGGCUGCAACUGUUUAUUAAAAACACAGCACUGUGCAAACACGAAAGUGGACGUAUACGGUGUGACGCCUGCCCGGUGCCGGAAGGUUAAUUGAUGGGGUCAGCGCAAGCGAAGCUCUUGAUCGAAGCCCCGGUAAACGGCGGCCGUAACUAUAACGGUCCUAAGGUAGCGAAAUUCCUUGUCGGGUAAGUUCCGACCUGCACGAAUGGCGUAAUGAUGGCCAGGCUGUCUCCACCCGAGACUCAGUGAAAUUGAACUCGCUGUGAAGAUGCAGUGUACCCGCGGCAAGACGGAAAGACCCCGUGAACCUUUACUAUAGCUUGACACUGAACAUUGAGCCUUGAUGUGUAGGAUAGGUGGGAGGCUUUGAAGUGUGGACGCCAGUCUGCAUGGAGCCGACCUUGAAAUACCACCCUUUAAUGUUUGAUGUUCUAACGUGGACCCGUGAUCCGGGUUGCGGACAGUGUCUGGUGGGUAGUUUGACUGGGGCGGUCUCCUCCUAAAGAGUAACGGAGGAGCACGAAGGUUGGCUAAUCCUGGUCGGACAUCAGGAGGUUAGUGCAAUGGCAUAAGCCAGCUUGACUGCGAGCGUGACGGCGCGAGCAGGUGCGAAAGCAGGUCAUAGUGAUCCGGUGGUUCUGAAUGGAAGGGCCAUCGCUCAACGGAUAAAAGGUACUCCGGGGAUAACAGGCUGAUACCGCCCAAGAGUUCAUAUCGACGGCGGUGUUUGGCACCUCGAUGUCGGCUCAUCACAUCCUGGGGCUGAAGUAGGUCCCAAGGGUAUGGCUGUUCGCCAUUUAAAGUGGUACGCGAGCUGGGUUUAGAACGUCGUGAGACAGUUCGGUCCCUAUCUGCCGUGGGCGCUGGAGAACUGAGGGGGGCUGCUCCUAGUACGAGAGGACCGGAGUGGACGCAUCACUGGUGUUCGGGUUGUCAUGCCAAUGGCACUGCCCGGUAGCUAAAUGCGGAAGAGAUAAGUGCUGAAAGCAUCUAAGCACGAAACUUGCCCCGAGAUGAGUUCUCCCUGACCCUUUAAGGGUCCUGAAGGAACGUUGAAGACGACGACGUUGAUAGGCCGGGUGUGUAAGCGCAGCGAUGCGUUGAGCUAACCGGUACUAAUGAACCGUGAGGCUUAACCUU
rnacentral:rRNA from 1 species